CCGGGUGUCAUCCCUGCGCCUGGGGAUGUCCCCAAACCUCCCCCGAAGGCAGCACCUCCCUGCACACCCCUGCUGCAAAGUGGGGCCCUGGCAGGGCUGUAUGGCGCGGGGGUGUCACCCCAGCCCCAGGGGCAUGUCACGCCAUCCCCGGCGUGGGGCCACGCCGUCCCUGGGGUGGUGGCGGCACGCUGUCCCCUGGGCGGUAGCAUGCCGUCCCCAAAACGGCGUCCCUCUGUCCCCAGAGCAGUGUCAGAUGGGGCAGGCGAAGCUGCACGGCCCGGCUGGGAGGGACGCCGACAUGGCCUCCGGGCCCAAACUGGGGUGCAGAUGUGGCUGCAGGGUGCCACCGGCAGCAGUUCUGGUGGGGAGGGCACAGAGCUGUGUGGGGCCAGCAGCCACCCGGCACGGGGUGGGGGUUGGGGGGGGUCCAAAAACCCCACGCUGACAUUUGCCAUCCGAAAGGGGAACCAUGGCGAGGAGAGGAAGGGAGUGGGAGGAAGCCGAGACGGUGGCUGGGGGUGGCAGCGUUUGCAGGUGGCAGGAAGAGGCUUUUGGGAGAAAGUAAAAGUAAGCCGAGAAAGAAAAGGGCAAAACCUGCCCGGCAGGACAGGGGGGUCCGGGCAGCGCUGAGCACCCCCCAACCGGAGCACCCCAGGACCCCCAUCGUGAUGUUCCCGUUGUCCCCUGAGCUGGGAUCCCCGGGGCGGCACUGGGAUGGGGGACGAGAGGGACGGUGUUUCUGCCCCCCAGCCCGGCUGCCUCUGCCCCACACCCCCAUGGCCAGGACCCGUGGGCAGCCCCCAGGGAUGGUCCCCACGGCUGGACCCUGUAGCUGGUCCCCACAGCGUGUCCCCUUGCCCAGUCCCCGUGCUCAGUCCCAUGUCCAUGAAUUAUCCCCACGCCUGGUGCCAUGGACGGUGCCCAAUGCCUGCAACCCACGGCUCGUCCCCACACUUGGUCCCCCUGCCUGGUCCCUACCGCUGGUCCCCGUGGCUCUUCCCCAUGCCUGGUGUCCAUACCAUGUCCCCAAGGCUGUUCAGGGUGCCUGGUCCCUACGCCUGGUCCUCGCACCCGGUCCCCACACCCCGACGCCGUAGCAGGUCCCCAGACCCCAUACCCGGUCCCCACACUUCAUCCUCACAGCUGGACCCCAUGCCUGGUCCUCAUCUCUGUCCCCACACCCAGUGCCCAUCGCUGGCUGUCACACUUGUCCCCACACCCAGUCCCCAUCCCCGGUCCCCACAUGGGCAGGGCUCUGCAAGCAGCAUCACCGGGAGCCCACGGGGCCACACAUGCCAUCACCAGGGCCACCCCCAGGCUCAUCAUCCCCUUCGGGGGGGGGGGACACACACACGACACCCACCACCGCAGCAUCCCCAUCCCGCCGAGACUUGGGGCGCCUGCCCUGGACCCCAUUCCCGGGGCAGAGCCUCCGCAGCCGAAGGAAAUCCUCCCCCCCCCCCCCCACCACCCCGGCCUUUCUUCUCCGCUCCCCCUGUUCCUAAUUCUUUUUCCUCGCCCGUAAUGAGGGGAUUACAAGGCAAACUCCAGCAGGACGCCUUUGUGGGGAGACAAUCUGAGUGGGGAAGGCAGUUCGGGGCUUUGUCCGCCGCCGCCCCCCCGGACCCGCGCUGGGGGGACAUUUAGAGCAAUUACUUGUCCAGAAAGUAACUGUCAAUCAUUCUUAAAGGGGAAGGCCUCCAAUUAAUAACCUCGUCUUAAUCCUUUGGACUCAUUUCCAAUCUGCGGUGCCUUGGUGACAUCUGCAACACUAAAUAAAGAUUCUCCCGAGCCUUAGCGCGGCGGUUCUGUGACAAAUAAGAAGACUAGAGGCAACUUUGGCUGCCAAAGCUGCGAGAUUGGUGAGGUUGAGCCGCUUGUUUGGUUCCCAGGAGGGACCGGCAAAGUUAAAUACUCCUGGAAAAGCCGAGUUGGGCCCAGCAGGUGCAGAAGCUGCGCAAAUGAGAAGCGGCUUCGGGUGGGUGCAUUGGGCUGGUCGCAUCUCACAGUGGAGCCAAGCACGGGGUGCCCAGGGCACCCGUGCCCAGGACCCCAGGUCAGUCCCCGGGACACUGCGGCCCCGGGAUAACACUGCGGCAGAAGAGAGGAUUACGCCUUUGCGUAACCUGUUUCUGGGGCCGCCCCAUCCUCCCAUCCGUCCAUCCACUUGUCUGUCUGUCCCCGGCCUGGGGUUGCAUGGAGGGGGGGGGGGGCCGAUGUCCCCGUGCCCCGGCUAACCCCUGCGGUCC